rnacentral:rRNA from 1 species
UAACAUGAGAGUUUGAUCCUGGCUCAGAACGAACGCUGGCGGCAGGCUUAACACAUGCAAGUCGAACGUGAAGCCGGGCUUCGGCCCGGUGGAAAGUGGCGCACGGGUGAGUAACGCGUGGGAAAUUACCUAGCAGUACGGAAUAACUCCGGGAAACCGGCGCUAAUACCGUAUACGCCCUCCGGGGGAAAGAUUUAUCGCUGUUGGAUGUGCCCGCGUCGGAUUAGGUAGUUGGUGGGGUAAUGGCCCACCAAGCCCGCGAUCCGUAGCUGGUUUGAGAGGAUGAUCAGCCACACUGGGACUGAGACACGGCCCAGACUCCUACGGGAGGCAGCAGUGGGGAAUAUUGGACAAUGGGCGCAAGCCUGAUCCAGCCAUGCCGCGUGAGUGAAGAAGGCCUUCGGGUUGUAAAACUCUUUCACCGG